GGGCCCGCACAAGCGGUGGAGUAUGUGGUUUAAUUCGAUGCAACGCGAAGAACCUUACCAGGGUUUGACAUCCUGCGAAUCUCUUGGAAACAGGAGAGUGCCUUCGGGAACGCAGUGACAGGUGGUGCAUGGCUGUCGUCAGCUCGUGUCUUGAGAUGUUGGGUUAAGUCCCGCAACGAGCGCAACCCUUAUUCUGUGUUGCUAUUAUAGGAAACUCAGAAGACUGCCGGUGAUAAGCCGGAGGAAGGUGAGAUGACGUCAAGUCAGCAUGCCCCUUACGACCUGGGCCACACACGUGCUACAAUGGCCGGGACAAAGAGAUGCAAUCUCGCGAGAGCAAGCUAACCUCAAAAACCCGGUCUUAG
rnacentral:rRNA from 1 species